GAUGAACGCUGGCGGCGUGCUUAACACAUGCAAGUCGAACGAAAAGGCCCAAGCUUUCUUGGUUUCUCGAUUGGCGCACAGGGGAGUAACACGUGGGUAAAAUGCCCUUCACUUCGGGAUAUAACUGCGGAACUGCGGCUCAUACACCGUAUGAUCACUUCUUCCAUAUUGUGGAGUAAAGAUAUACGGUUGUGCGGUCAGCUCGCGGUCGAUCCGCGUCGCGUUAGCGAGUUGGCAAGGUAACGGCUUACCAAGGCGACGAUGCGUAGCCGGCCUGAGAGGGUGAUCGGCCACACUGGAACUGAGACACGGUCUAGACUCCUACGGGAGGCAGCAGUAGGGAAUCUUCCGCAAUGGGCGAAAGCCUGACGGAGCAACGCCGCGUGAGUGAGGAAGGUCUUCUGAUCGUAAAACUCUGUUAUGAGGGAAGAACAAAUGUGUAAGGAACUAUGCACGUCUUGACGGUACCUAAUGAGAAAGCCACGGCUAACUACGUG
rnacentral:rRNA from 1 species